rnacentral:rRNA from 1 species
AUGUUCCAAGGUGGUUCUUCAAAGAAGCAAGGACCCAGGCUUGCAAUGCGUGAUGCUGACGAAGAGCCACCAAGAGACGCUCCAGUGCGUCCUUGCGAGUGGCCUUCUGAAAAUUUUAUGGAUCGAGCGGGCAUAAAAGAAGAAUUCAACGCAUAUUUGCGUAACACUGAUCUUGUGAGCUUCGAGGAAGAGAAGUGCAGUCAGUAUCAUAACCUCACUAGUUCCUUUGUGAGGAGGUUUGAAUUUUCCACUUCACAUAAUUCUCCAACUGUCCUGUUUGAUCUUUAUGAUAAAUCUUAUACCAUGGGCUUAGAGGAUUUUACCACUGCAUGCAAACUUCCACAAUGGGGUAGUAUAAGGGAUCCUCUCAAAUCUGAAUUUAGAGUUUUUCUUCUAAUAUAA